GGCGAGUGAAGCGGCAACAGCUCAAAUUUGAAAUCUGGCGCAAGCCCGAGUUGUAAUUUGGAGAGGAUGCUUCUAGGCAGCGGCCGGUCUAAGUUCCUUGGAACAGGACGUCAUAGAGGGUGAGAAUCCCGUAUGCGACCGGUUGGCACCUAACACGUAGCUCCUUCGACGAGUCGAGUUGUUUGGGAAUGCAGCUCUAAAUGGGAGGUAAAUUUCUUCUAAAGCUAAAUACUGGCCAGAGACCGAUAGCGCACAAGUAGAGUGAUCGAAAGAUGAAAAGCACUUUGGAAAGAGAGUUAAAAAGCACGUGAAAUUGUUGAAAGGGAAGCGCAUGCAACCAGACUUGUCGGCGGUGUUCCGCCGGUCUUUUGACCGGUCUACUCGCCGCCGGCAGGCCAGCAUCACUUGGGACCGCCGGACAAAGGCCACGGGAAUGUAGCUCCUCGGAGUGUUAUAGCCCGCGGCACAAUACGGCGCGCCCCGAGUGAGGUCC
rnacentral:rRNA from 1 species